GUAUGUCUCGAUGACAUUAAAUACCAUAAAUUGCUGGUACAUGGCAGACAUAAAGUUUGGUCUUGGAACAAGACCUUUGUUGAUUUAUCUAGUAAAGGCAAAAUUGAAGGUUCAAGAUUGCAAGUUGAUAACAUGACUUAUCAACAACAGCUGGGAUCAGGCGUCGAUUAUCUAUGGUCAUAACGUAUUAGAAGACAUAUGGGUGACAUUUAAAGUAAAUGGCUCCCGUUGACCCCAAAGGUCUGGGAAUGGAGCUGGAGUGCUUGAAAACUUGCUUUGACGUGAAGGUCAAAGCAUGCCGGCCAGAUAAGGGAACUGGAAUUAUCUGGUCUGUGGGCACCGUUGCUAAAACACUAUUAUAAAGUAAUAUAGGUGAGUGAAUAAUGGCACCUAGAAUUGAUUUUUUGAGACGUGGAGAAUCUGAUGACUCAAAUAGCAAUGUGCGUUGCCAUUUUAACUAAUUUCAACUAAUAGUGCAAAGAAGCAGAGUUCUGUGUGUCCGAUUGCAUUAUGGAGACAGAACAGCCAGCAAGCUGCUGUAUUAUCUCUGGGCAAGAAGCCAAUUAUGGAGGGGUAACAGCAGUCUUGUCUGAAUUAAACUAAUGUUUAAAGUUGUUGUAAACAUGACCACCACUUCUGAACCACAAAUUCUAGCAUGUGCAGUUGACAUUGAAUUGGCACAUGAUUAAGUAGUGAGUAAAUUGACAAAAGGUUCAGAAGGGGGGUGGUUUGAAUUAUUGUGUUAUUAUUAUUCUUAUUUUUCUCUCAGGAAUGAUGAAAUUACAAGACUUAGACGAGAGAGAGAAAUGGGCCAGGAAAAUACAACGCUGGCGACAAGCCUGUAUACCACAACCUUGUCUGACGGUGGUUGGGCUUAGUAGGAGUAGAGAUAAAGAGGACAAACAAGUGCUCAUUGAAAGAGGGAUUAAUCGAAAGACCUUGACCGAACGUAGCACUCCUUUGGUGCAUAAGGUCUGAGACUUUACUUCUGAAAUAAAUGGCAUUUCAACAGAGUGCCACGAAGGGUGAACAGUUGAGUGAUAUACCAAGGAUAACUCUAAGAAUGAUUCUACCAGCAUUGCUGUUUUGUCAGGAAACGGUGACAACCUUUUGGAAAUUCUGGCAGAGAAAUUUGUGGAAUUCCUGGAGAAGGAGGAUUUAACUCUGACUCAGCCCGCCUUCACGCCCCAAGGUGCAAAGAAUCAAACAAGCGGCUCGCACACCAGAAGGUAUGCCUGGAAUGCCAGAUCCCCUCUCUUGGCUUCUGAAGAGGAGGAGGACCCCUGAGUGAGUGAGGACCCCUGGGGGCGUCAGAUUGAGGCUUGUGUACAUGAAAUUACGAACGGACGAUUGUUGAGAGCAAGAUUUGGACACUAUCUUAGCACUGACAAGCAGAGCACAAAGAUUUGGUCACCUGAUACUACUGUAUCUGGAAAUUAGAAAAAAAAAAAGAAAAAAAAGAGUGCAAGGGGAAAGAAAGAAUGCUCGAGUUUGGGUUGAAAACUAUAUGGAUGUGUUUCAUACCAGCUUACUGAUGCAUGAUGGCACUGUGUAUGUGAUGCUUGCAAAAUAUAACAAGUUUAAAAAACAUGAUGAACAGUACUUUAGCUUGAAGAUGUUAGGAUGAAAUCAGCCAGCAAAAUUGCAAAGCAGUGGGUGUUAAUGGAGAUGAUGAUUUUGCAAUUGUAUUGUCUUGAUUAAUGCUUAAUUUGCUAUAAACAGAUGUACUGUAACCUAAGUAGUAAUAAUGCAUUUGCUUAAGUACAAAGAUGUAACCCUGUGAUUAAUGCUAUAUGGAAAAUGUAUUGUGUAAUUUCACUUACAUUAAGAAAACUGCUUACUUGCAUGAAAUGUAUGUAGUGACUGAUUUAGAGCAGAAACACUUAUAUAUUAGAAAUAGUUUUUAUGAUAAAUGGACAAUAUAGUAUUUAAGGUGUAUUUCACCUGACGGUUAAGAGGAAAAAGAAGAGGAAAAGGGCUAAAGCAAUGCGACGUAAACAACUGAAAGCCUCGGCAGAGGAGUUGGCAGCACUCCAGGUGAUGACAUCAGAAGAACCAGCGUUCGACGUCUGGGUAUAAAAGACUGAGAGAGAGACUCAACCGACGGAUACUGAACAAGCACAGUAUCCCUCGACCCCUGAUACCAGCUGAUUAUACCUUGAUUUUGUAACUUUACUAUUGUACUUUGAUAUAACUUUUGUUAAUUUUAAUAAAACUUGUAAUUUAUUAUUGA